GGUAAAAAGAAACUCUUCUUUCCUACUACGACAUCUACUUAAAAAUUUACGUCGUGACUCGUGAAUAAGCUAUCCCAUGUGUCAAUUUUAGUUGUGAUCCGACAAAAACCAGGUUUUCGUAACGGGGUUUUCGUAAGUAAAUAUUCCGUGAAGAUGUCAGAUGACUGGAAACAGAAGAUCAUCAAUGAAAAGCUAGGUGGAAAGAGAGAUUGGACAGAUGAGGAGCGAGCAGAAUUGUGUCAUCAGCUGGACAAAGACUUAGAUAAACACUUUGACCCCAUGGGUAAAUCCAAAUUUAAAGAUGGAUGGACAGAGGAGAACUGGAAAGAGCAAAUGGCAGAACAUCCUUUAUUUGCUCCUUAUAUACAAGAAGAGGGUGUCACUGAAGGUGAAGCUCCUCUCAACCCAUUAAGUGAAGGCUUAGCUCAAUUAAAAUUUGAUCCAGAACAUAAUUCCCCCACGGAGGUUGCUCAAAAUUACAAAGAAGAGGGAAUACUCCAGUUCAAGUAUAAAAAAUAUAGAUUAGCAGUUGCUAAUUUUUCCGAGGGUCUGAAGCAGAAGUGUCCUGAUAACGAACUUAAUGCUCAGCUUUACAAUAACAGAGCUGCAGCGCAUUGGCAUUUAGGAAAUUAUAGAUCAGCAGUGAAAGACUGUGAAAAGGCAAUUAAAUUUAAUCCAAAUUAUGUGAAAGCAAUUUUACGUGCAGUUGAGUGCACCACAAAACUGAAAUCUUGGGAUGAAGUCAUAUCAUGGUGUGAUAUUGGCCUUCAGUUAGAUGCUGCAAACCAGAAAUUAAAAAGUGCCAGACAGACUGCUGUGAAGGAAAAGAAACUACAAGACAGAGAUGCUCGAAAGAAGGUCCAAGAGGAAAAGAAAGUUCAAUUACAAGAAGAGAACUUGAUACAAGCAAUUCAGAAACGAGGUAUCAGGUUAGGAAGCAAAUAUCUGGAAGGUUCAUCAUCAAUAAAAUUAUCAGAUUUGGAGCCAUGCCAUCCAUCAGCACAGGGUUCAUGUGUUCACCUAGGUGAGAAUGGAGAACUAGUGUGGCCUGUGAUGUUCAUAUAUCCAGAAUAUCAAGAAACAGAUUUUGUUCAAGAAUUUUCAGAAAAUGAUUGCAUUGCUGACCACCUGAAUGUAAUGUUUGGACCAGGUGCUCCCCCUGCACCUUGGGAUAGUGAUCACAAAUAUUUUGCAAAGAAUCUUAGAGUAUUCUUUGAGGACAAGGACAACAAACUUUGUAAGGUGGACACCAAUUGUAGUCUUCUUCAAGUAUUACAACAUCCAAGUUUAUGGCAGUCCCGGGUUAUCAGCGAUCUGGUUGUAUGGGGCUUGUCUAGCACUAUAACAUCAGUGAUUUAUGGCUCCAUAACGGGCCAAAUUCCGGUUAUCGGGGCCAUAAGGGUGCGUAUGGCACCAUAAAUCGCAGAGAUUUGGUUAACGGCGGUUUUCACUUAUUGGCACACCCCUGGGAAUGGAAUCCCCACCGAUAACCAGGGACUGCCUUACUUCUGUAGCGUACCGCGUAAUUGGUGGCACUCCAGGACUUAUCGUAGUGGUUGAAGGAAGCAAGUUUAUGUCAGAAUUUAUAAACAAAUAUAAUUGAACAUGUA